rnacentral:rRNA from 1 species
CCUACGGGUGGCAGCAGUGAGGAAUAUUGGUCAAUGGACGCAAGUCUGAACCAGCCAUGCCGCGUGCAGGAAGACGGCUCUAUGAGUUGUAAACUGCUUUUGUACGAGGGUAAACGCAGAUACGCGUACCUGUCUGAAAGUAUCGUACGAAUAAGGAUCGGCUAACUCCGUGCCAGCAGCCGCGGUAAUACGGAGGAUUCAAGCGUUAUCCGGAUUUAUUGGGUUUAAAGGGUGUGUAGGCGGUCGGAUAAGUUAGAGGUGAAAUCCCGAGGCUCAACUUCGGAAUUGCCUUUGAUACUGUGCGGCUAGAGAAUAGUUGCGGUAGGCGGAAUGUGUGGUGUAGCGGUGAAAUGCUUAGAGAUCAUGCAGAACACCGAUUGCGAAGGCAGCUUACCAAGCUACUUCUGACGUUGAGGCACGAAAGCGUGGGGAGCAAACAGGAUUAGAUACCCGAGUAGUC